AUAAGAAUAUUAUCUCAUCCACAUGUUUGGUAAGUCUAAUAGAUAAAGGCUCGCAACUUAUUCCAUUUAGAUAUCAAUGAUCUUUUCUUUUCAUGUAAACCAUCAAUAUGAAAUGAUUAUAUGGAACAAGCAACCACGGGUCCAUUUUCUUUCCAUUUUCUGUAUGUUUAACUUCACUAAAACUGGUUUAGCUUAAAUAAUACGUCUGAUAGAGUUUCGACUCCUGUAAUAAUAUUUCAUUCACAUGCAAACACUUAGUGAAAAAAUAUAUUAGAAAAGAAAACUGGAUUUUUUUGUUCAAAAGAAAACUGGAUUUUUCUAUAACAUAACACUUACUCGUAUUCUAAAUAGUAAUGAUCUUAAGCGUAUAUUUCAAUACAUAUUACCUUCUUCUCGAAAAAAAUAUUAUAUAUAUCAAAAUAUGCAUCUAUCAAAAACAUGGAUAUAAUAUAGGAUGGGGUUAUAGAACUAAGCAUUAAAAGAAGAAGUGUGGCUUGUUAGAAUUUUUUUCACGUUCACGAUAAGUCUUUCCUACUCUUUUUAAAAGUUUAUUUCUUCUUUAUACAUAUAGUCUUAACGAAAAGAAAAACAGUGACCCAUAUCCUCCCUCCUAUACUUCUUUAGAAAGAACACAACAUGAAUGAUUAACUGUUUGUUAGUUUUUCAUUAAUUAACGUUGUAUGAAAAAUCACAUUAGGCAGAGAGUAUUUUAUUAUUCAUUGCAUGGUUGAUAUAUGAGAUCGCUACAAAGUAAAAGUAGAAGCAAACAUUUGAAUUUCCACGUUGUUUGCAUCCAUUGUGGAAAAAAUUCACUAUGUUAUAUUAUCAAACCAUUUAUUUUUCCUUCAUAAUUGACUUGAAAAUUUCUAGUCUCUUUUUAUCCUCAACAAGAAAAAAACUAUUAAAUCUGAUUUUAUGGUAUUCCAUAUAGAUAUAUAUGUGAUUGAGUCUAAAUCGGGGCCUGGCUUCCAUCCGUUUUGGCAACCAAUCAGGUGGUCUCGUACGUAAGGAAACGACAUGUGGGAUUCUUCAUGUGCCAGUUACCAACUUGGUCCAACUCUAUCGGUUUCACACGCUGUCGGAGCAGAGCAAACUACCGGUUCCAGAGCAUAUAUCCACGUGGUAAGACAGCUGGAAUGCUGAUUGGUUUUCAAGUCUAUCUACGCCGCUGAUUACUACAAUUACUACAAUCAUUUUUCUCUUUUUUCUUUCGCGGUGCGUCGAAUUAUAAACAACAUCCUAAUAAAUGUAAAUACAAACAAAGCAAAUACUCCUUACUAGCGAAUGAAACAAUGAUCAAAAUGGUAUAAUAACCAUCAUAUUUCUUUUUUUUCUUCAAAAUAAUGUUGAUUUUAUUGGAUC
rnacentral:lncRNA from 1 species